GACGAACGCUGGCGGCGUGCCUAAUACAUGCAAGUAGAACGCUGAAGAGAGGAGCUUGCUCUUCUUGGAUGAGUUGCGAACGGGUGAGUAACGCGUAGGUAACCUGCCUUGUAGCGGGGGAUAACUAUUGGAAACGAUAGCUAAUACCGCAUAACAAUGGAUGACCCAUGUCAUUUAUUUGAAAGGGGCAACUGCUCCACUACAAGAUGGACCUGCGUUGUAUUAGCUAGUAGGUGAGGUAACGGCUCACCUAGGCGACGAUACAUAGCCGACCUGAGAGGGGGAUCGGCCACACUGGGACUGAGACACGGCCCAGACUCCUACGGGAGGCAGCAGUAGGGAAUCUUCGGCAAUGGGGGCAACCCUGACCGAGCAACGCCGCGUGAGUGAAGAAGGUUUUCGGAUCGUAAGGCUCUGUUGUAAGUCAAGAACGAGUGUGAGAGUGGAAAGUUCACACUGUGACGGUAGCUUACCAGAAAGGGACGGCUAACUACGUG
rnacentral:rRNA from 1 species